rnacentral:rRNA from 1 species
UACGUAGGGGGCAAGCGUUGUCCGGAUUCAUUGGGCGUAAAGAGCGUGUAGGCGGCCAGGUAGGUCGGUUGUGAAAACUGGAGGCUCAACCUUCAGAGGUCGACCGAAACCAUCUGGCUAGAGUCCGGGAGAGGAGAGUGGAAUUCCUGGUGUAGCGGUGAAAUGCGCAGAUAUCAGGAAGAAUACCCGUGGCUAAGGCGGCUCUCUAGUACGGUACUGACGCUGAGACGCGAAAGCGUGGGGAGCGAACAGG